AGUGGCGGACGGGUGAGUAACGCGUGAGAAUCUGCCUUGGUGUCGGGGACAACCACUGGAAACGGUGGCUAAUACCGGAUAAGCCGAUUGGUGAAAGAUUUAUUGCCCGAAGAGGAGCUCGCGUCUGAUUAGCUAGUUGGUGAGGUAAGAGCUCACCAAGGCAGCGAUCAGUAGCUGGUCUGAGAGGACGAUCAGCCACACUGGGACUGAGACACGGCCCAGACUCCUACGGGAGGCAGCAGUGGGGAAUUUUCCGCAAUGGGCGAAAGCCUGACGGAGCAAGACCGCGUGAGGGAGGAAGGCUCUUGGGUUGUAAACCUCUUUUCUCAGGGAAGAAGCUCUGACGGUACCUGAGGAAUCAGCCUCGGCUAACUCCGUGCCAGCAGCCGCGGUAAUACGGAGGAGGCAAGCGUUAUCCGGAAUUAUUGGGCGUAAAGCGUCCGCAGGUGGCGAUUCAAGUCUGCUGUCAAAGCACGGGGCUUAACUCCGUAAAGGCAGUGGAAACUGAAUAGCUAGAGUGCCGUAGGGGUAGAGGGAAUUCCCGGUGUAGCGGUGAAAUGCGUAGAGAUCGGGAAGAACAUCGGUGGCGAAAGCGCUCUACUGGACGGCAACUGACACUCAGGGACGAAAGCUAGGGGAGCGAAUGGGAUUAGAUACCCC
rnacentral:rRNA from 1 species